GACGAACGCUGGCGGCGUGCUUAACACAUGCAAGUCGAACGGAAAGGCCCUGCUUUUGUGGGGUGCCCGAGUGGCGAACGGGGGAGUAAAACGUGAGUAACCUGCCCUGGACUUUGGGAUAACUUCAGGAAACUGGGGCUAAUACCGGAUAGGAGCUCCUGCUGCAGGGGGGGGGUGGGAAAGUUUCGGCGGUUGGGGAUGGACUCGCGGCUUAUCGGCUUGUUGGUGGGGUAGUGGCUUACCAAGGCUUUGACGGGUAGCCGGCCUGAGAGGGUGACCGGCCACAUUGGGACUGAGAUACGGCCCAGACUCCUACGGGAGGCAGCAGUGGGGAAUAUUGCACAAUGGGCGGAAGCCUGAUGCAGCAACGCCGCGUGCGGGAUGACGGCCUUCGGGUUGUAAACCGCUUUCGCCUGUGACGAAGCGUGAGUGACGGUAAUGGGUAAAGAAGCACCGGCUAACUACGUG
rnacentral:rRNA from 1 species